CCGCCCUCCAGCCCCGCCCCGCUCGCUGGCCUGCCCUCCUGCUACCCUCCCGGCACAGAGAACCCCGGCUGCUCAGCGCGCUCCGCGGUCAUGGAGAUCCCCGGGAGCCUGUGCAAGAAAGUCAAGCUGAGCAAUAACGCGCAGAACUGGGGAAUGCAGAGAGCAACCAAUGUCACCUACCAAGCCCAUCAUGUCAGCAGGAACAAGAGAGGUCAGGUGGUGGGGACCAGAGGUGGCUUUCGUGGUUGCACAGUUUGGCUAACAGGUAUG
rnacentral:lncRNA from 1 species